CUGGCUCAGGAUGAACGCUAGCUACAGGCUUAACACAUGCAAGUCGUGGGGCAGCAUGUUGGUUGCUGCAACCAAUGAUGGCGACCGGCGCACGGGUGAGUAACGCGUAUCCAACCUUCCCUAUAGUAGAGGAUAGCCCGGCGAAAGUCGGAUUAAUACUCUAUGUUUUCCAAUGCAGACAUCUAAAAUGGAACAAAGGUUCACCGCUAUAGGAUGGGGAUGCGUCUGAUUAGAUAGUCGGCGGGGUAACGGCCCACCGAGUCGACGAUCAGUAGGGGUUCUGAGAGGAAGGUCCCCCACAUUGGAACUGAGACACGGUCCAAACUCCUACGGGAGGCAGCAGUGAGGAAUAUUGGUCAAUGGGCGAGAGCCUGAACCAGCCAAGUAGCGUGCAGGAUGACGGCCCUAUGGGUUGUAAACUGCUUUUAUACAGGGAUAAAGUGACGUACGUGUACGUUUUUGUAGGUACUGUAUGAAUAAGGACCGGCUAAUUCCGUGCCAGCCGCAGC
rnacentral:rRNA from 1 species